GCAGUGAAGUUAGAGGAAUUAACACCCGACUCAUAAUCGGAUAUUUCGCGGGUUCGAAUCCCGUCACAUGCU
rnacentral:tRNA from 7 species